GCCGUUGUAGCUUAGUUGGUAGAGCAGCGGAUUCGUAACCCGAAGGUCGGCAGUUCGAUUCUGCCCAAUGGCACCA
rnacentral:tRNA from 3 species